GACGAACGCUGGCGGCGUGCCUAAUACAUGCAAGUCGAACGCAGUGGGGACGGGUGAUUAACACGUGGGUAACCUCCCAUCAGAGGGGAUAACACUUGGAAACAGGUGCUAAACCGAUACUGAUGGAUGGACCCGCGGUGACUUGGCUAGUUGGUGAGGUCACGGCUCACCAGGGCCACGAUGCAUAGCGGACCGGAGAGAGUGAUCGGCCAACCAUGGACUGCGAAACGGCCCAAACUCCGACGGGGGGCAGCAGUAGGGAAUCUUCGGCAAUGGACGAAAGUCAUACCGAGAAACGCCGCGUGAGUGAAGAAGGUUUUCGGAUCGUAAAACUCUGUUGUUAGAGAAGCGGUAUCUAACCAGAAAGCCACGGCUAACUACGUGCCAGCCGCCGCGGUAAUUC
rnacentral:rRNA from 1 species